GAGCGGUAACAGGUGUAGCAAUACAUGCUGACGAGCGGCGAACGGGUGGGUAAUGCUUCGGAAUCUGCCCAAUGGUGGGGAAUAACCAGCCGAAAGGUUGGCUAAUACCGCAUGAGCCCUACGGGGGAAAGCAGGGGAUCGUAAGACCUUGCGCCGAUGGAUGAGCCGAAGUCGGAUUAGCUAGUUGGUAGGGUAACAGCCUACCAAGGCGACAAUCCGUAGCUGGUCUGAGAGGACGACCAGCCACACUGGGACUGAGACACGGCCCAGACUCCUACGGGAGGCAGCAGUGGGGAAUAUUGGACAAUGGGGGAAACCCUGAUCCAGCGACGCCGCGUGUGUGAAGAAGGCCUGCGGGUUGUAAAGCACUUUUAGUGGGGAUGAAAAGCUCAGNGGCUAACACCUCUGGGUCUUGACCUAACCCACAGAAAAAGCACCGGCUAACUCUGUG
rnacentral:rRNA from 1 species